AUACGAGUGAUGACAGGAAAUAGUAACAAGUACUGUGCUUUCAGAGAGCCGAUGGGUGCUGUGAAUCGGUAGGACAUAUUUGUGAAUCCAUCCUAGAGCAAAUUGUUGAACAACUAGUAGGCAAUUUCGGUAAUCGGCCGUUAUCCGAUUUAAAGUGAAGGUAUAUGAUAUAUACUUUAACUAGGGUGGCAACGCGGGUUAACUCUCGUCCCUUAU
rnacentral:ncRNA from 1 species